rnacentral:rRNA from 1 species
UACAGAGGGUGCUAGCGUUGUUCGGAAUCAUUGGGCGUAAAGGGCGCGUAGGCGGCUGUUCCAAGUCGGGGGUGAAAGCCUGUGGCUCAACCACAGAAUGGCCUUCGAUACUGGACGGCUCGAGACCGGAAGAGGUGAGUGGAACUGCGAGUGUAGAGGUGAAAUUCGUAGAUAUUCGCAAGAACACCAGUGGCGAAGGCGGCUCACUGGUCCGGUUCUGACGCUGAUGUGCGAAAGCGUGGGGAGCAAACAGG